UCUGGCCUCAAAUCAGGUAGGACUACCCGCUGAACUUAAGCAUAUCAAUAAGCGAGAGAAAUUAGUGAAUUAAACAUGCUUGGUGUCUUGCCUUCGGCAGGCCUGCUUAAUAAAUCUACACCNUGAACGUAGACGUAUGAUGAGGUUUGGGCAGUUUCUCGCAUUUUAACAACAUAAUGUACAACGU
rnacentral:rRNA from 1 species